GCUCAAGUUCGUCCCUGAAACCAAAUCAAUUUUUUCAGCAAUAAUUACGUAAAAUUACUAUCUUUAAAACUAAAACAUGUCCAGAAAUUAAAGUAUUUCGAAAGUGCUAAUAAAGAUUUACCUCCAAAAUGUGGCAGUUAAUGCAAUUGCACUCUUGUAGCUUAGUAAAACAGAGGUUGCUAACAGCGAAGAACAGUGGCUAUUUUAUAAAUGUCCUCAAAAGUAAACCGACAAACGUGCUUAAGCGUCAUAUUUCGGAUUUUAAAGUUUCAACAGAAAAGAGUGCAAAGUGCAGUGAAUUCUUAAUUUUUAGUCCAUGGAAGUUGUGUACCGGUAUAAGUUUAGGACUUGCAGCUCGCGUGUUGUUCAAUAAUGGGCCUGCAUUUUGUAAAUCUAGUCAAACUUCUCGUAUAGUCCAACGGAGGCCAAAUGUUAAUGAUGACAGUUCAAAGUUUGACUGGAAGAAGUUAUUUGAAUACCUGUGGCCUCAUAGAUGGGUAUUGGCUGCUGCUGUUGCUUCUGCAUUGGCUGUGGCCUUCCUGAACGUCUACAUUCCAGCGAUGUUAGGUGUUAUUGUCAACGUCCUAGCAAGCAUGAAGACCAAUCCAAGUGCAGAUUUUAUAGAAGAAAUAAAAAUGCCUGCUCUAAAACUUAUUUCAUUGUACAUUGGACAGGCAGCAUUUACAUUCUUCUACAUCCAUUUACUGGCACAAGUGGGAGAGAAAGUCGCGUUACAAAUGAAGCAAGACCUGUUUGAGUCAAUACUGCGACAGGACAUGGCCUUCUUCGAUAGUGAGAGAACUGGAGAACUAGUCAAUAGGUUGACAGUGGAUGUGCAAGAUUUCAAAAGUUCCUUCAAACAAACCAUCUCCGGUGGUUUGAGAGCUAUCACACAGGUGAUCGGUUCAGCGGUAAGCCUGCUUGUGAUAUCGCCACAAUUGACCACUCUGACCUUGGUGUGUGUCCCAUCAGUGGUCAUCGGGGGAACAUUCAUCGGUUCCCUAUUGAGAAAGCUAUCGAGAGAGGCUCAGAGUCAGAUAGAAAAAGCAACUCUAGUAGCGGAAGAAGCGAUAUCGAACAUGCGGACCGUGCGAGCGUUCGCGGGCGAAGAGAACGAGGCGCGAAUGUUCGCUAACGAAUGCGAGCAGGCAGCGGAUCUAAGUAUGGAGCUGGGAUUGGGAGUGGGAUUGUUCCAGGCUGGAACUAACUUGUUUUUGAAUGGGAUGGUGUUAGGCACAAUGUUCCUCGGCGGCCACCUGAUGUCAACCGGCCAGAUGUCGGCGGGUGACGUCAUGGCGUUCUUAGUCAACGCGCAAACAGUACAACGAUCGGUCGCACAACUAUCGUUGUUGUUCGGAUCGGUCGUCAAAGGAGUUAGCGCCGGCGGUCGAGUGUUUGAGUACAUCAACAAAGAACCAAAGAUGGACACUUCGGGCACAAAAGUUAUAAAGUACCACGAAAUUUACGGCGAUAUCGAGUUCAAAGACGUCACAUUCGCGUACCCGACUCGUCCUGAAGCGGUAGUGCUGAAGCACUUCAACCUCAAAAUCCCAGCGGGUAAGACGGUUGCAAUCGUCGGUACAUCGGGCAACGGGAAAUCCACUAUAGCUGCACUAUUAGAGAGAUUCUACGACGUAAACGACGGGCAAGUGACGAUAGAUGGCGUUGACGUGCGCCAGUUUGACUGCAAGUGGCUGCGAGGCCGAGCGCUGGGCCUCAUCAGCCAGGAGCCCGUGUUGUUCGCGACCAGUGUCAGGGAGAACAUACGCUAUGGCAAGCCGGAGGCGAGCGACGCCGAGGUGAUACAAGCGGCCAUGACGGCGAAUGCGCACGAGUUCAUCACCCAGUUCCCAGCUGGUUACGACACUUUGGUCGGCGAGCGGGGAACAGCGCUGAGUGGCGGACAGAAGCAACGAGUGGCUAUAGCGAGGGCUGUGCUGAAGAACCCGCCUAUUAUCAUACUGGACGAGGCUACCAGUGCCUUAGACUCUGCCAGCGAAAAGGUGGUACAGUCAGCAUUAGAAACAGCUGCUAAAGGGCGCACAGUGUUGGUGAUCGCUCAUCGCCUCUCAACUGUCAUAAAUGCGGACCUCAUUGUGGUCUUGAAUAAGGGGAAGAUUGUAGAGAUGGGCACCCACGAUCAGUUGAAGAAACAGAAAGGCUUCUACUGGAACCUGAUCAAGCAACAGGACCAAGAUUCAGAGACUUCCAGGACGUUAUGAGAGUGAGGUAGCUUGAUAAAAUAAUUUGUUGACAAUAACUAAUUUGACAAAGUUAGAAAUAGUAAUUUAAAGCCAUCCGCUUACGAUAUAGAGUCGCAGAGUGAAACGCAUUGAUUUAUAACAAACAAAAAAACACUUUUUUUUUUGGUAUCAUAUCGCUGAAAACUUUAUGGAAUUUUUUAACCGAUGAUGACGUCAUAUACACGUCAUGAUGACAUGACGUCUACGUGUAUGUUAAAUUGCAUUUUUGCAGAAAUGUAGAUAAAAGAUUAAACCGUCGAUAAAUUAAUAAUCUAAUAAUUAUAGAGUCUAAGAUUUUUAUAGCCUGGGAAAGUAAUUAAUUAAUAGAUCUCUUAAACUAGUAAAAUAGCAAAAAAAAAAUGCAGAAAUUCACUAAAUUGUUGACUUCAGUAUAGAAUGAGAUAGGUACUUGCAUGAAAUAGGUUUUAAUAUCACAGAGAAAUAGUAAAAAAAAAUCUUACUCCAUUUUUUCAUAACAUUGUCACUGCCGUUAUGCGUUUUUAAGAAUAAUAAAGUAGAUUAUACAAGCAAAUGAUAGUGAGAUAGAUGCUUAAGUAACAAGAAAUAUAAUGUAACUAAUGUAAUAAUAUAUUUUUACCAGUAAGCGUAAAUGAGAAAAUAGAGAAGACAAAAGAAGUAACUAGAAGAGGUAUUUAUUGAUUUUGUUUUGUCGUAGAUCACUUCAAAUUGGUGACAGAUGGGAUAUUGGUUGGUUUUGGUGUUGCAAGCGAUAUUUUAUUAAUAUCUUAAU